AGGUGGCGACAGCAGCGGGAGGCGGGGCUGCCGCAGCCCCAGGAGCAGCAGAAGCAGCAACGAAAGCUAGAGCUGGAGCAGGAGAAGCCGCAGCAGCAGCAGGAGGAUCCCCUCUGGGUACAGAAGUGAGCGCCGAGCUGCCGCGACGGUGGCAGUAGGAGUAGGACCCGCAGCGGCUGGGGCGGUUUGGAGGCAGCGGCUACACCUCCCCGGCUCGGCAAGCCGGGCGGGAGGGCGGGGAAGCCAAAGGCAUAGCGCUCCCAGGUUGCCCCGGCGGGGCCAUGGUGCCACCGCUUCCCACGGCUCCCGGGCCGCUGCCGCCUGUGCUGCUGCUGCUUUUGCUGCAGCUGUGCAGGGGUCUGCGCGCGGAGGACAGUGGCGCCAUGGAGGAGAUUGCCACUGAGAAGGAGGCGGAGGAGAGCCACCGGCAGGACAGCGUGAGCCUCCUGACGUUCAUCCUGCUCCUCACCCUCACCAUCCUCACCAUCUGGCUCUUCAAACACCGUCGGGUGCGAUUCCUGCAUGAGACAGGCCUGGCUAUGAUUUAUGGACUCAUCGUGGGGGUGAUUCUGCGGUACGGCAUUCCUGCUACCAGUGGCCAUGAUAAGUCUCUCAGCUGUUCUCAAGAAGACAGACCAUUCAGUACUCUGCUAGUCAAUGUCAGUGGGAAGUUCUUUGAGUAUACGUUAAAAGGAGAAAUUAGCCCUGGAAAGAUCAAUAAUGUUGAGCAGAAUGACAUGCUGAGAAAGGUAACUUUUGAUCCAGAAGUAUUCUUCAAUAUUUUGCUGCCACCAAUUAUUUUCCAUGCUGGAUAUAGUUUAAAGAAGAGACACUUUUUCAGGAAUCUUGGGUCUAUUCUGGCGUAUGCUUUCUUAGGGACUGCUGUCUCCUGUUUCAUUAUUGGCAAUCUUAUGUAUGGUGUGGUGAAGCUCAUGAAACUCGUAGGACAGCUCUCUGACAAAUUUUACUACACAGAUUGUCUCUUGUUUGGAGCAAUUAUCUCUGCCACUGAUCCAGUGACUGUUCUGGCCAUAUUUAAUGAACUGCAUGCUGACGUGGACCUCUAUGCCCUUCUGUUUGGAGAAAGUGUCCUAAAUGAUGCUGUGGCUAUAGUUCUAUCCUCGUCUAUUGUUGCCUACCAGCCAACUGGAUUGAAUACCCAUGCUUUUGACGCUGCAGCCUUCUUCAAAUCUGUAGGAGUAUUCCUGGGAAUAUUCAGUGGCUCCUUUGCCAUGGGAGCAGUGACUGGAGUCGUGACAGCUCUAGUAACCAAGUUUACCAAGCUUCACUGCUUCCCCCUGCUGGAGACUGCUCUCUUUUUCUUAAUGUCCUGGAGUACCUUCCUUUUAGCUGAAGCCUGUGGGUUUACAGGUGUUGUUGCAGUCCUCUUCUGUGGAAUUACCCAAGCUCAUUACACCUACAACAACCUGUCAGUGGAGUCAAGAAGUCGAACAAAGCAACUUUUUGAAGUGCUCCACUUCCUGGCAGAGAACUUCAUAUUCUCCUACAUGGGCUUAGCCUUGUUCACUUUCCAGAAGCACAUUUUCAGCCCUAUAUUCAUCAUUGGAGCUUUUAUUGCUAUCUUCCUGGGAAGAGCUGCACACAUUUACCCUCUCUCCUUCUUCUUGAAUCUGGGCAGAAGACAUAAGAUUGGCUGGAACUUUCAACACAUGAUGAUGUUUUCAGGCCUUCGAGGAGCAAUGGCUUUUGCAUUGGCCAUCCGGGACACAGCGACUUACUCUCACCAAAUGAUGUUCUCCACCACUCUCCUGAUUGUCUUCUUCACUGUUUGGUUCAUCGGUGGAGGAACGACCCCCAUGUUGUCAUGGCUGAACAUAAGAGUUGGAGUUGAUCCAGAUCAAGACCCACCACCCAGCAAUGACAGCUUUCAAGUCUUACAGGGGGAUGGUCCAGAUGCUACCAGAGGAAAUCGAACAAAGCAGGAAAGUGCCUGGAUAUUCAGGCUAUGGUAUAGCUUCGACCACAAUUACUUGAAGCCUAUCCUCACUCACAGUGGACCGCCGUUAACGACGACCCUUCCAGCGUGGUGUGGUCUGCUGGCGCGGUGCCUGACCAGCCCACAGGUGUACGAAAACCAAGAACAGCUGAGAGAUGAAGACUCUGAUUUUAUCCUGAACGACGGUGACCUCACUCUGACAUAUGGAGACAGCACCAUAACAGCGAACGGCUCCUCAGGCUCCCACACGGCCACCACGAGCCUCGAGGGCAGGAGAACAAAAAGCAGCUCAGAGGAGGCGCUAGAACGAGACCUGGGAAUGGGAGAUCAUGAAGUUUCAAACCGGGGCACCCGACUGGUAUUUCCUUUGGAAGACAAUGCAUGACCCCCAAAUUCCUAAAGCAGAAGGGUAGGCUCAUAGCCAGAGCGAGGAGGGGUUGCAGGCCCCCCAUGUGUCGUUGGAGGUGGAAGAUGGUCAGGGACCUGAACUAACACUUCUAUGACCAAUGGUUUUAUUGAGGUCUCAAGAUCCAAACCUUAUUGUGACUUCCCUGUCCCCCCAACUUCCCCCCAAAAAAGUUCAUUAAAGAUGCAGGUGGUGGGGUUAAAGUGUUUCCAAAUUAAGACAAUAAUGAGCCUAUCCCCACUUUCUUACACAGUAGUACAUUGAAUCCUUUAAAAAAAAAAUAGCAUGCUGAAAUGGUCUACGAACUCAUUCACCUGCAGUCCUUGAGCCAAGGAGAGGCGAGCUCGGAAGGCCACCCCUUAAGACGAUUCAAGUGGUUCAUUAGUAUCAGGUCUCUCUUGGGCUGCAAAGUGGGCACGAGGGGGAAAUGGGAUCUCAAUGGAAGGAAGUAGAGCACGGACCUCCAAGAGAUGGGGCAACCAGUGUUAAAUGUUUCACGUGUAAAGAAACAGUAUAAAAUGGUGGCUCCAACGCGUGGGGCCCUACCAACAUCUCAUUCUGGGACUCGUGGCUUUCAUCAUGGGAAAACAAUGGAAGGAGGCAUCGUUUCUCUGGAUGCUGUCAUGGAAAAGAUGUCUUUUUGUUCCUGGAGUGUUUGAAACCAAAGGCACUUUGGGGGAAAGGUGGGAGGUUGUUUUGUUUUUGUUUAACUGCUCCCUGGGUCGGGAGAUGUUUGGAAAGGGCAAAAGACUUCUAAAUUCUUGAGGUCCACAGUGGGCCCAUGAGCUGUGCUUCUAAUGAGAAUAUAAAGAUUGACUUGGCUAUUCUCUUACACUGAAAUAGUCCUAAUGAAUGACUGGACAUGAAGGAAACUAAGGGAAGAAGAGGAUUAAAAGAGCUUCUGGCUUGUAAGAGGAAUUCAAUCUGGGAAGGAAAAAGAUGGAAAUAGGAUAGGAAGAAAUAGAUUUCACAGCACUAAAUGUGGACUGCAGUGAAUAGAAGUAUUCUAAAGGACCAGCAGAUCUCUCUUUAAUGAUGUUUUCUGAACUGAGGAAUGCCUGAGAUGCCCGCAGCAACAGCGUGGCUGGUUAACGGGAGUACUGAAAUUUUUAGGAACUGGUACCAGGGUGAAGAAGUUUUGCCAGAGUCUCUUUCUUUGAUCUGAGAGUCUCUUAUUUGAAUAAUUUUUUAUUUGAAUAAUGCCUAGACUGAGGGAGCAUUGCCUGCUUGCUACAGGGUUAAAAGACUUGUCAGCCUGGUCAUCUUCACAUCAUUUGGUGUCAUUAACAGUUUAAAAAAUAAAAAAGAGGGCAGUAUUCUUGGGACCUAAGGAGACUAACAUCAUUGUACUGUGUGGAUGGAUAGGGGGUUUUUUUCCUGUUUUUUUGUUGUUGUUUUAUUUUGUUUUUUGCUUUGUUACUAGUUUGUUUCUUUCUCUGCGAUUUCUACUUCCUGUUAAAGACACUUAGAGGAACUGAAAUACCAAAAGCAUUCUCUGCAAGAAUAUAGCUUUUUCUCCCAUCUUUCAGUUUUGAUACUAAAAUAUUUGGGAACCUCAUUUUUUUAAAUGUACUGAGAACACAUCAGUUUUUCUAUUACCCAAAGUAAAAUAGUUUCCCAUCACACUGUAAAUGACCUUCACGUACUCAUUAAGUCAUUAAGUGGGGCAUUUAUCAUCACCCCAUAAAGUUUUAGAAUCAAAAAUGUAAAUGAAAUGUGGGGCAAAACAGUGUUUCCAUGCAUUCAAAAUUAUUUUAUAAAUCUUAUUUACUGUUCAUGUGGAGUCUGGACAGGUAGAAUUUAGUAUCCAAGAUGAGAAACUACCUCUUCAGUCUUGUCCCUUCAAUAAAAUCGCAUCUGGAAAGACUGGUAGAUGAGCUUUCUUCUCUGUGCUUUUGAAAGAACUUGAAAUUAAAAAUGAGAUAUCACAGCUACUUCUAUAGGGAGCCUGGAUAGUGAGUCAGGAAAGUACUUGGGAUACACCAAGCAGCUUUCUCAGAAAAUCUUUGGCAGUGCAAGAGUUUCUGUUAUGGUCCCCUGCUACCCAAUUAGAGCCAUAAGGCUGGACAGCAGUGUGUAUGGAUGGCUUUGGUACAAAUGGUCAACACAGAACCUUUUCCCUGUGAGGCACAGUCUUGCCUAAGGACAGACCCCUUGGCUAGCUUUGCUGCAUUGUUUGUCUUUGGGUUUGUUUUUAUUUUUUUUUUUGCUCAUACCUCUCCCACCUCAAAUUCAAUGUCUCUUCAUUUAAAUUAAUAUUAGAAGGAAGGAACACGCUGGCAACCCACAUCCUGAGGCUUGGGAGGGCCUUAACUCAAACAAAUCUGCUCAUACCAAGUCCUCACUGCCAUUAAUGGCAUGGACUUUACUGUCUUAAAUUUCUAGGAAAGUUAAUGUUUAUUACAGGAAAUUGCCAUAGUGGGGAAAAACCUGCUGAGUUUCCUCCAUUAUGAUCUGAAUUCAUCUGUACCUCAAAUGCAUACACAAAAGAUCUGUGUUGUGGCUUUUUCUUCACCACAAACACUUCACUCUGAGCUACCUGAAUUGGGGCAGUAGAGAAUUUGUUGCAACUAGGAAUCUCUUCAACAGUUCUUCUCCUUUUUACUGUGACUUUCCCCCCAUAGUUACUGUGUGGUUUGGGAGAAACUCCUUUCUUGGUCUUGAAAAGAGAAAGAAUAACCCUGACCUCAUUACAGGACCUGGGAAGAUCUGCUCAUCUUUAACAAGGUGAUUUCAACCUUAAACAUGCCUUGUCAAUGUUCCCUGAAAUAACAAUACAAGUUUUGAAAGCCAGCUGUCCACAGUGAGCAGAACUAGUUCUCUUUAAUUUGAAGCCAAAUUGUCCUUAACCAGCUUUUUUGGAAAACCAAACCAAGACAGACAAAUGACAGAACCCUUGAUUAAAUGAUCCACCCAAAUCGGAAGGGGAAAAGAGAUAUAAAAUGGUAUUUCUGAGCCUCAUUCUCCAACACAGGACUGAUGUGUCUGUCCUUCCAGGGAGCACAUUAGAGGCAGUUUCCUACCAUUUAACAAUUAAGCCUGAAGUGCUGAGCCUGCUCAAGCAAUCACGCAUUCAUCAGCAACCCAGGAGGAAAGAACUUUCAUUCAGGGGAUUAGAAAAUGUAAAAGACAUGCCAUAAAUUCCAGCCGAGAAGGGGCUGUUUGAAAAUCUUGAUGGAGAAGGAGCCAAAGUAUGCACGUCCCUAUGCAGAGGGGGCACUAUAAAGCCUACCCCCAUGACCUUGAUUCCUGUGUGUGGUAAAAACAAAGUUUGUUGUUGUUGCUUCAAGUGAAAGACAGCUGUGUGCUAAAAAGCCCUUGCCAAUUCUGCUGUUUCCAGGGCAGCAUCACAGCAGCCUUCUGUUUCUGAGACGUGCCAGAUGCUGCCUCUGAAGAUAUUCACACACCUAGAAAACACUUGUGGUCUUGGAAUAUUUGAAAGGAUGCACAAAAUUUCCUCCUCCUCCAACUCUCUCUGCUCCUCCCCCUACAUCUUAGUGAAUGUUAGGAACCAAUUCUGGAUCUAGGCUGGCACAUAAACACCCAUGGAACAAACCCAUGUGGAACACAGAAUUCCUUAUCUCAAAGGAAGGAGGAGGCCUCUAGGAAGUAGUAUGCCUUGUCUUAUAAAAUAAACAUUAGUGGUACCAACAUUCAGGGUGUUUAUUCUUAUCACCCCCAUCCCCACGAUCCUCCUCCCCUGAGAAAAAAAGAGCCCCAGUAAUGUCCCCUUUCAAAGACCCAAAUGUAGUUUUCUCUCUUGAAAAAGCAGUUUAUGGCAUUUUUAUAUGAAAUUGGGAUACAACUGCAGUAGAGGCAAAUCAUGGCUCCCUUAGAGCCUUUCUGAAGAUAAAUAUAGGAAGGAUGCAGGUGACUCAGGCUUUGAGCAGCCUCACUCACUGUGCCAAGUAAGACAAAUAAGUCUGGAUGCAGGCUAGCCAGGGAGCAUCUUGUAAGGAGAAAAUCUUUCCAUUAAGUUAAUGGCAAAAAGCUAUUUAGCUUGGGCCUUGGUGAAAUAUCAUCUGUCAUUUGGAAUAAUUUUGAGAAUCAGAAGAAUACCAUCCAGGUGCAAAAUUAGAUGUUAGAGAAUUUUGAGAAUCAGAAGAAUACCAUCCAGGUGCAAAAUUAGAUGUUAGAGAAUUUUGAGAAUCAGAAUACCAUCCAGGUGCAAAAUUAGGUGUUAGAGAAUUUUGAGAAUCAGAAUACCAUCCAGGUGCAAAAUUAGGUGUUAGAGAAUUUUGAGAAUCAGAAGAAUACCAUCCAGGUGCAAAAUUAGGUGUUAGAGAAUUUUGAGAAUCAGAAGAAUACCAUCCAGGUGCAAAAUUAGAUGUUAGAGAAUUUUGAGAAUCAGAAGAAUACCAUCCAGGUGCAAAAUUAGGUGUUAGAGAAUUUUGAGAAUCAGAAGAAUACCAUCCAGGUGCAAAAUUAGAUGUUAGAGAAUUUUGAGAAUCAGAAGAAUACCAUCCAGGUGCAAAAUUAGAUGUUAGAGAAUUUUGAGAAUCACAAGAAUACCAUCCAGGUGCAAAAUUAGAUGUUAGAGAAUUUUGAGAAUCAGAAGAAUACCAUCCAGGUGCAAAAUUAGGUGUUAGAGAAUUUUGAGAAUCAGAAGAAUACCAUCCAGGUGCAAAAUUAGAUGUUAGAGAAUUUUGAGAAUCAGAAGAAUACCAUCCAGGUGCAAAAUUAGGUGUUAGAGAAUUUUGAGAAUCAGAAGAAUACCAUCCAGGUGCAAAAUUAGAUGUUAGAGAAUUUUGAGAAUCACAAGAAUACCAUCCAGGUGCAAAAUUAGAUGUUAGAGAAUUUUGAGAAUCAGAAGAAUACCAUCCAGGUGCAAAAUUAGGUGUUAGAGAAUUUUGAGAAUCAGAAGAAUACCAUCCAGGUGCAAAAUUAGGUAUUAGAGAAAUUUCUGACAAGAUAAAAGAUUUUCAGGAGGAAGGAAAAGGGGUGAAAGUUCCCCAAAAGUAGAAAAAAGGAAAACUUAUAUUAAUGUUGUUCCAGGUUUUUCCCCUAAUAGAAAAUGAACUAUUGGAUGCAUACUGUGGCCAAGUGAAUGUUUACUAAUAACGUAGUCAAGGAAGAUAAUCAUCACAACCCAAUUAAAUAUGGGUCACUUUGAACUGAUCAGGUUAGUUCCAAGAGCACGUUUUAAGAAAUAGCUUUUACCAGCUUUUGUGAAAUGUGAACUGGCCUAAUUGGGGGUUUGAGUGAGAAUGUGUGGAAUUCAAGAACCAGGUUACUGGUUUAAAGAGAUUUUCUUUUUCUCAGCCACAGUGAAUUUUAUUUAUUCUCCAUCUGCCUUUUAAUAAUGAAUCUCUUACUAAAAAGUAUGAUGGUUGCUCUUCGAGGGAUGCCCACUAGGCUAUCAGUGAGUUCCCUCAUGUUUAGGUGUGUGCUAGAUUCUCUUACUAAUGACAGGAGUAACUUUAUGGUAUCAUUAGUCAUUAGAGGGGUAAGAGGAGGACUAAGAGUAGUUGCUUUGAUGAGACGUAGCAUUGGGCACUGAGAACACCACUCACAUUUAUUAGAAUGGUUUUCUUUACCAUCUUUUCCCCUCUCUGUCUCCCCACAAAAGUAACCACCAAUUAGAACAAAAUACAGAAAAGCCCAUUUUGGGUGAUGAAAGCUUUGGGAAAAUCAAGUGGGUUCUUGCAGGCUUUGAGCAGGACUGUCAGCAUUGCUUUUAUGAUUUCUGACAGUGGGGAUUGAUUUAAAAAAAGUAAAGUUUGUAAAGAGGAAGGGGGAAAACAUAUGAGUUGUAUAAAGCAUUUUUAAACAUUUAAAAACAUUAAAGAUUCAAGUUUUAUUCUGUGACAACUGAAUUACAUAUACACUUGCUGCAUUGACUUCUACAGUUACAGGCUUUGGAGGAAAGCAAGAAGAAUUUAUUUCACCUCUUAUUAAGUGUUAUUUCUCCUGAAUUGACCUUUUGACACUGGAAUAAUUAUCUUUUCAAAAUGGGGCUAUGUGCCCCUACAUAAAGGAAUGGGAAGGAACUCAUCUUGUAGACCAACUCUCAAAUUGUUAAGGAAGUUUCGUCAUAUUUAAGAAAUGAUUCAGUAGAGAGAGAACCAAGAUAAAACAGGAAGAACCCUAAUUCCCUACAAUAAUGAGUGGUGUCUUUUUUUCCCCUGCAGAAUUUCACCACCAUAGCAGAAACUUAAUAAUCAUUUAAUAAUAUGUUAUGAUUUGCAAAGGAAAAAGGGCUGCAAUGUUCUGCAAACAUGACUCCCAGGCCUCCUACCUAGCUCGGCAAGAGGGCCCCUCACCAUCUAACCCUUCCUGCAUGGUUUACUGAACAUUUCUCAUCGCUUCUGCUUAGACCGACUUCUCCAAAAUUCUACAAAAUGAUUUCUUACCCUAUUUUCCCUCCUUGCUUCCAAAGAAAAAGACUAUGGUUUGGCUCAACCCUACUGGAGCAUCAUCUGUGACUAGGAUUAAUGACUGGCAUGAGGGAACAUGGAAUGGGUUUUGUGGGGCCUGAUCUGGGGCUCUUUCAGUUUUACUUAAAAACUUGUGGGGAUUGGGGGCAUUUGGUUUUGGGGGGAGUUUUUUGGUUGUUUUUUUUUUCCUAAGGAGUGCAAAAAUCAGGGCAGCAUUAGACAUAAAAAUCCUUUUUCCAUGUGCCUGGUUGUGCCUUAGUGUCAAGGGAAAUACUGUAUACCUGACCUCUCUGCCUGUGAUUUCUAUCUAUUCUCCUGCUUUUUAACCUAAAGCACUAAUGGCACGUUUGUGGUCUUGCAAGCAGCCCAGCGUCAACCAGGGAGGGGCACAAUUAAGAGUGGUGAGCCUCCGGCAGGGACGGUUUCUUUCAGCCUCUCCAUAGUUCCGGUCCGGUGCUGUGUCGCUGGGGCAGUACUCACUUUUACCUGAUGUCAUCAACCUAGCGUCUUCAUGGCUGCCUUCUGAACUUACUCUUUCAUUUGUGUUUGUAAUUCUUAAAAAGAGAAGCUUGGGAGUGAAAAUUCUUCCCAAUUCAUUAGUUCUGGGAUGGGCUUAGAGAAGGGAAGGUAAAGACGAGCUAGAAGUAUCUUUUUUUAAUUUUUCUUUAAAGAUCCGACUCAGACCUCAAAACGAGACGUUUUCUUUAAGUUAUGAAAUGAACAUAGGGUAAAAGACCACACUUGCCAUGGUUUUCAGAUCAAUAUUUCUGUCCAAGUCGUGAUGUAAACAUCAUUAAUUCUGAAACCAUAAUAAAUCGAGUCUCCUCUUCAUUCGUCACCGGGAACGUCAUCCCCUUCGAAGGGCGCCAAUCGCCACUGGCAGGUUCAAGCUGGAAAAUAAAGCCCUCCAUAUUGGAGGGCCACCAUAUCCAUAUUGCACUAUGUCGCUUCCUUAUUGGAAAUGUAGUCUUUGCAGAUGUGUCCGUCGUGUUUAACUGCUCACUAUUCUUUCUGCUAUGCAGAACUGUACAGCAGUGAAUGUCAAGUGAAGUCUCAAUAGCCCAACUGUGCAAGGUAAUCUCACUGGCAGUGAUUCUUCAUCUUUCCGGACUGCACGCUUCCGUGUGGUAGUUUACCUAGGGAGGAAAGGGGGGGAAAGAAUACAGAAAGGAUGUCAAAGUGGACUGACGUGAAGCCUCUGAUGAAAGAUCUGUAAACCUCUUUAGACUUGGACUAUUUUCACUCAGUUUGUACAACACUCAAAUCCAAAGCUAAAAACCCAUUCUGAAAAAAGGAUCGUUUUCAGUUUGUGAAAAUGUCAUGAAAAAAACAUGGCUUGAAAAGCUGUGUUUGCAUGUUGAGGGAAAAGAAGGGGGGAGAAAGAAUCAUGUAAACCUCAGUCAGCAUUGCUGUCCUUGCUGCUGCUGCUGCUGCUGCCAUCUACGUCUGACUAGGACUGGUCUGUUGGCUUGCAUGCUCUUUGGAUUCUAUAGUGGAAUUUAAAUUUAGAUACCUGCUAUUUAACCAUCUUUAUAAGCCUAUGUAUUCAUUUGUGGAAAGGAAAUCUCUUUUUUUUAAGACUAAAAAAAUUGUAUCAUAGUAAUAAUUAAGAUUCUGUUCAAGUUUCCUUUUUUUUAAUUUUUGUUUGUGUGUGGCACUUCAAAAACUUUUCACUUUGGUGGGAAAGAAGUCACUGGUUCCAUUUGUGACAGGUCUGCCUGUUUCUUACGUUACCAGCCCUUAGUAGAUGAUGGACGUGCACCAAAUUUGAUAACUAAUCUUAAUGAGAUUGACCAUCCAUGAACUACUUUAACAAGGGCCAGAAAACAGGCGUCGACAGGACAAAUGGAAGUGUAUCAUAAGAGUGAUCACACACAUCAGGGAAUUGAGAAGUAGCCUAGAUUUUCUCUAGAGGCAGUUUACAAAAUCAACGGGUAGUUGACAGUAAAUGCAGAUUUCUUUGGUUGCUAGCUCUCUAGAAAGCGUACAUUUAUAUACAUACUAGAUUUGUGUGUUAAGACUUGAAAAACAAGCUUUGCUGUACUUCAGGGUCAUUUACUCUCAAUGGUCAAUAUGGUGAUCUAUACUUGAAGACAGAGGCCAGUUAAGGUGGACAGCUUUGUAUUUUGUUUUUAAAGCACUUUAAAGAAAAAUAAACUGGUCAGAUCUGAUAUUUAUAACAAAACAACGGCGACUUCUUUAUAUAUUAUUCACCCAAAUAAAUGUAAAUAGCUUAGUUAAACCCUCAAUAAUAAAUUGAUUGGAAAAAGGUAGGUGGGGUGGAAGAAAAUUUUGAAUUAAUAUUUCAUCUUUCUUUGAAAAACCCUAGUUUCCUCUUCGCCACAUCUUUGAUUCAAGCACCGGACCCUUUAUCCUGCAUAAAAAUUUCAUGAGCAGUACUGUGGUGUAUUAGAUAGAGGACUGGCCACAAAGUCAAGAAGAGCUGGCUGGGUUCAAGGACAACCUCUGAAACAUUCUGUUGAUAUCACCCUGGACAUGUCAUCUAACUUCAGAAGUUACAGAACCUUUGCUAACCUGUGUGGACUGGAGAAAUUUCUCUCCUACAAUUUCCUUAUCCCCAUGAAAUCACAUGUUUUGUCUCCUUAUUCCAAUCCCCUAAAAGAUAGCAUUUUUUGGUCUCUGUAUUUAUCCUCCCCUGUUGCCAAGAGCAGCUAGUUAGGCUAUUGGUUCAAGGCUGUUUUUAAAUCUGGAAAAAUAAGCAUCCAUCAUUUCUCAGUGAGAGUGCCACACUGAUGUUUCAGAGGCUAGAGGUUUCCUUCUCCCAAUUAUUUUUGGGUUGAAAACAAGAAGACAGUUCUACUCAUGCCUAAAUUUAAGGCCCUGGAAACUGUCAGGGCUGACCUCUAGAACUUUUAUGAUUUAAAAUUAAGAUACCAACAUUGAAGUUCUAAAAUUUUACACUGAUCAUUUACCAGCUCGUUUCCUGCUAUUAAGUUUGACGAUGAAGUAUUAACAUUUAAGCUGCUAUAUACUCUGGUAAAAAAUUUUUCUUCAACUUGCCCAGAUUUUCACCCCCUGAGGAAAAUACAGAACAUUUUAUUUCUCUCAAAAGUCAACAGUAAUAUAUAAAGACAUUUAGUGUGAUGAAAGACUGACAAACUGUUUUAGUGCAAUGAAUUUCAGGUCUUAUCAGGGUUCUGUAUAUUGUGAUGUUUUCAGAACAUGAAUAAAAAUAGUUUUGGAUUUUUUAAUGUGACAUUUAUGUGUUCUAUGUCAUUCCAUUAACCCAGAAAAUAAAUAAUUCAUAAACUGUU